rnacentral:lncRNA from 1 species
AAUAUUCAUCUGGUCACCCAAGGACCUCAGCCCUAGUUCUUUACCCCCAUUGGCCUGUACAAGUCAUGUUUAACCUUGAGCCUUGAUGAUGCCAUAGAGGACCCAUAGUAUCCAAAUUUGUUCACACCCAACCCUUUGAAUCAUCUCAAGACAUCCCUUAUAUUUCCAAACCCUAAUUUGUUUGGCCAUGGUUCUUGAUGAAACUUGUGAAUCAAGAAACCCUAGUUGUGCAUCUUUUGGUUCAUGGCCUUGCUCCAUUUUGAU